ACGGGUGAGUAACACGUGAGUAACCUGCCCUUGACUCUGGGAUAAGCCUGGGAAACUGGGUCUAAUACCGGAUACGACCGCUCCACGCAUGUGGUGGUGGUGGAAAGCUUUUGCGGUUUUGGAUGGACUCGCGGCCUAUCAGCUUGUUGGUGGGGUAAUGGCCUACCAAGGCGACGACGGGUAGCCGGCCUGAGAGGGUGACCGGCCACACUGGGACUGAGACACGGCCCAGACUCCUACGGGAGGCAGCAGUGGGGAAUAUUGCACAAUGGGCGGAAGCCUGAUGCAGCGACGCCGCGUGAGGGAUGACGGCCUUCGGGUUGUAAACCUCUUUCAGUAGGGAAGAAGCGUAAGUGACGGUACCUGCAGAAGAAGCGCCGGCUAACUACGUGCCAGCAGCCGCGGUAAUACGUAGGGCGCAAGCGUUAUCCGGAAUUAUUGGGCGUAAAGAGCUCGUAGGCGGUUUGUCGCGUCUGCUGUGAAAGACCGGGGCUCAACUCCGGUUCUGCAGUGGGUACGGGCAGACUAGAGUGAUGUAGGGGAGACUGGAAUUCCUGGUGUAGCGGUGAAAUGCGCAGA
rnacentral:rRNA from 1 species